UGGGGAAUAUUGCACAAUGGGCGCAAGCCUGAUGCAGCAACGCCGCGUGAGGGAUGACGGCCUUCGGGUUGUAAACCUCUUUUAGUAGGGAAGAAGCGAAAGUGACGGUACCUGCAGAAAAAGCACCGGCUAACUACGUGCCAGCAGCCGCGGUAAUACGUAGGUGCGAGCGUUGUCCGGAAUUAUUGGGCGUAAAGAGCUCGUAGGCGGUCUGUCGCGUCUGCUGUGAAAACCCGAGGCUCAACCUCGGGCCUGCAGUGGGUACGGGCAGACUAGAGUGCGGUAGGGGAGAAUGGAAUUCCUGGUGUAGCGGUGGAAUGCGCAGAUAUCAGGAGGAACACCGAUGGCGAAGGCAGUUCUCUGGGCCGUAACUGACGCUGAGGAGCGAAAGCGUGGGGAGCGAACAGGAUUAGAUACCCUGGUAGUCCACGCCGUAAACGUUGGGCGCUAGAUGUGGGGACCAUUCCACGGUUUUCCGUGUCGGCAGCUAACGCAUUAAGCGCCCCGCCUGGGGAGUACGGCCGCAAGGCUAAAACUGCAAAUGAAUUGACGGGGUC
rnacentral:rRNA from 1 species